rnacentral:lncRNA from 1 species
AAAGAACGGGUGAAUAGGCAGCCUAAGUCCGGCCCUAAGGAUCGCCUCACUAAUGGCCACGCAGCCCGGCCUCGGGUAACAAGCUCUCUCUUCCGGCUCUGGGAGAAUCAGAUCCACACUGUCCGGGAUCCUAUAUUCUGUCCUAAGUCUACCAAAGUCGGCCUCCCUCAACUUUGAUGGGUAGUCCGACGCCCCCCAGUGCACAGAAGUAUCCG